AUGAACGCUGGCGGCGUGCCUAAUACAUGCAAGUCGAGCGAACUGAUUAGAAGCUUGCUUCUAUGACGUUAGCGGCGGGACGGGGGUGAGUAACACGUGGGCAACCUGCCUGUAAGACUGGGAUAACUUCGGGAAACCGAAGCUAAUACCGGAUAGGAUCUUCUCCUUCAUGGGAGAUGAUUGAAAGAUGGUUUUCGGCUAUCACUUACAGAUGGGCCCGCGGUGGCAUUAGCUAGUUGGUGAGGGGUAAUGGCCUCACCAAGGCCACGAUCAGUAGCCGGUCUGAGAGGACGGUCGGCCAUACUGGAACUGAGACACGGUCCAGGACUCCUACGGGAGGCAGCAGUGGGGAAUUUUUCGCAAUGGGGGGCAACCCUGACGAAGCAAUGCCGCGUGGAUGAUGAAGUCUCUUGGGACGUAAAAUCCUUUCGACGGGGACGAAAGCCGCAAGGCUUGACGGUACCCGUAGAAGAAGCCCCGGUCUAACUCCGUGCCAGCAGCCGCGGUAAUACGGGGGGGGCAAGCGUUGUUCGGAAUUACUGGGCGUAAAGGGCGCGUAGGCGGCUCACUAAGUCGGAUGUGAAAACUCUGGGCUCAACCCAGAGCCUGCAUCCGAAACUGGUGGCUAGGGUGCUGGAGGGGAUAGCGGAAAUCCUGGUUGUGGUAGGGUGAAAUGCGUAGAUAUCAGGAGGAACACCGGGUGGCGAGGCGGCUAUCUGGACAGUAACCGACGCUGAGGCGCGAAAGCUAGGGGAGCAAAACAGGAUUAGAUACCCUGGUAGUCCUAGCCCUAAACGAUGGAUACUUGCUGUGAGGGGGAUUGAAUCCCUUCGUGGCGAAGCUAACGCAAUUAAGUAUCCCGCCUGGGGAGUACGGUCGCAAGGCUGAAACUCAAAGGAAUUGACGGGGGCCGCACAAGCGGUGGAGUAUGUGGUUGUAAUCGACGCAACGCGAAAGAACCUUACCUGGGCUCGAAAGGCUAGCUAGACAGGGGCGGAAAGUUCCAUUUUGCCCGCAAGGGACGUUUAGUCGAGGUGCUGCAUGGCUGUCGUCAGCUCGUGUCGUGAGAUGUUGGGUUAAGUCCCGCAACGGAGCGCAAAACCCUUGUCCCGUGUUGCCAUGCCGAAAGGCGGCACUCUCGGGAGACCGCCAGCGAUAAGCUGGAGGAAGGUGGGGAUGACGUCAAGUCAUCAUGGCCUUUAGGUCCAGGGCUACACACGUGCUACAAUGGACGGUACAAAACGCCGCAAAACCCGCGAGGGGAGCAAAUCGUAGAAAACCGUUCUCAGUUCGGAAUUGCAGGCUGCAACCCGCCUGCAUGAAGCUGGAAUCGCUAGUAAUGGUUAUAUCAGAACGAUACCGUGAAUACGUUCCCGGGCCUUGUACACACCGCCCGUCACAUCACGAAAGUGGGUUGUACUAGAAGUCUGCGCGCUAACCCCAGGGAGGCAGCGGCCCAAGGUAUGACUCAUGAUUGGGGUG
rnacentral:rRNA from 1 species